rnacentral:rRNA from 1 species
UACGGAGGGGGUUAGCGUUGUUCGGAAUUACUGGGCGUAAAGCGCACGUAGGCGGAUUGGAAAGUUGGGGGUGAAAUCCCGGGGCUCAACCCCGGAACUGCCUCCAAAACUAUCAGUCUAGAGUUCGAGAGAGGUGAGUGGAAUUCCAAGUGUAGAGGUGAAAUUCGUAGAUAUUUGGAGGAACACCAGUGGCGAAGGCGGCUCACUGGCUCGAUACUGAACGCGUGAGGUGACGAAAGUGU